GCAUUGGUGGUUCAGUGACAGAAUUCUUGCCUUCCGUGCGGGAAAUCUGGGUUCAAUUCCCAGUCAGUGUA
rnacentral:tRNA from 1 species